rnacentral:rRNA from 1 species
UACGUAGGGGGCGAGCGUUGUCCGGAUUUAUUGGGCGUAAAGCGUCCGCAGGCGGUCGGCCAAGUUCGGAGUGACAAUUGAGGGCUUAACCCUCAAAGGGCUUCGAAAACUGGUGGACUUGAGGGCUUCAGAGGGAAAUGGAACUCCGGGUGUAGUGGUGAAAUGCGUAGAUAUCCGGAAGAACACCAAAGGCGAAGGCAAUUUCCUGGGGAGCAUCUGACGCUCGUGGACGAAAGCCAGGGGAG